rnacentral:rRNA from 1 species
GAACGAUGAUCCGGUGCUUGCACCGGGAUUAGUGGCGAACGGGUGAGUAACACGUGAGUAACCUGCCCUUGACUCUGGGAUAAGCCUGGGAAACUGGGUCUAAUACCGGAUACGACCGCUCACCGCAUGGUGUGGUGGUGGAAAGCUUUUGCGGUUUUGGAUGGACUCGCGGCCUAUCAGCUUGUUGGUGGGGUAAUGGCCUACCAAGGCGACGACGGGUAGCCGGCCUGAGAGGGUGACCGGCCACACUGGGACUGAGACACGGCCCAGACUCCUACGGGAGGCAGCAGUGGGGAAUAUUGCACAAUGGGCGAAAGCCUGAUGCAGCGACGCCGCGUGAGGGAUGACGGCCUUCGGGUUGUAAACCUCUUUCAGUAGGGAAGAAGCGAAAGUGACGGUACCUGCAGAAGAAGCGCCGGCUAACUACGUGCCAGCAGCCGCGGUAAUACGUAGGGCGCAAGCGUUAUCCGGAAUUAUUGGGCGUAAAGAGCUCGUAGGCGGUUUGUCGCGUCUGCUGUGAAAGACCGGGGCUCAACUCCGGUUCUGCAGUGGGUACGGGCAGACUAGAGUGAUGUAGGGGAGACUGGAAUUCCUGGUGUAGCGGUGAAAUGCGCAGAUAUCAGGAGGAACACCGAUGGCGAAGGCAGGUCUCUGGGCAUUAACUGACGCUGAGGAGCGAAAGCAUGGGGAGCGAACAGGAUUAGAUACCCUGGUAGUCCAUGCCGUAAACGUUGGGCACUAGGUGUGGGGGACAUUCCACGUUUUCCGCGCCGUAGCUAACGCAUUAAGUGCCCCGCCUGGGGAGUACGGCCGCAAGGCUAAAACUCAAAGGAAUUGACGGGGGCCCGCACAAGCGGCGGAGCAUGCGGAUUAAUUCGAUGCAACGCGAAGAACCUUACCAAGGCUUGACAUGAACCGGUAACGCCUGGAAACAGGUGCCCCGCUUGCGGUCGGUUUACAGGUGGUGCAUGGUUGUCGUCAGCUCGUGUCGUGAGAUGUUGGGUUAAGUCCCGCAACGAGCGCAACCCUCGUUCUAUGUUGCCAGCGCGUGAUGGCGGGGACUCAUAGGAGACUGCCGGGGUCAACUCGGAGGAAGGUGGGGACGACGUCAAAUCAUCAUGCCCCUUAUGUCUUGGGCUUCACGCAUGCUACAAUGGCCGGUACAAAGGGUUGCGAUACUGUGAGGUGGAGCUAAUCCCAAAAAGCCGGUCUCAGUUCGGAUUGGGGUCUGCAACUCGACCCCAUGAAGUCGGAGUCGCUAGUAAUCGCAGAUCAGCAACGCUGCGGUGAAUAC